AUACGGAGGGUGCAAGCGUUGUUCGGAAUCACUGGGCGUAAAGGGCGCGCAGGCGGUUUGGUAAGUCAGAUGUGAAAGCCCACGGCUCAACCGUGGAAGUGCAUUUGAAACUGCCAGACUUGAGUACCAGAGGGGAAAGUGGAAUUCCCGGUGUAGAGGUGAAAUUCGUAGAUAUCGGGAGGAAUACCGGUGGCGAAGGCGACUUUCUGGCUGGAUACUGACGCUGAGGCGCGAAAGCGUGGGGAGCAAACAGAAUUAGAAACCCCGGUAGUCC
rnacentral:rRNA from 1 species